AUUGAACGCUGGCGGCAGGCCUAUCACAUGCAAGUCGAACGAGUGGCGGACGGGUGUGUAAUGUCUGGGAAACUGCCCGAUGGAGGGGGAUAACCACUGGAAACGGUAGCUAAUACCGCAUACCCUCGUAUGCGCCCAGAUGGGAUGAGCUAGUAGGUGGGGUAAUGGCUCACCUAGGCGACGAUCCCUAGCUGGUCUGAGAGGAUGACCAGCCACACUGGAACUGAGACACGGUCCAGACUCCUACGGGAGGCAGCAGUGGGGAAUAUUGCACAAUGGGCGCAAGCCUGAUGCAGCCAUGCCGCGUGUAUGAAGAAGGCCUUCGGGUUGUAAAGUACUUUCAGCGAGGAGGCGUUACUCGCAGAAGAAGCACCGGCUAACUCCGUGCCAGCAGCCGCGGUAAGUC
rnacentral:rRNA from 1 species